rnacentral:rRNA from 1 species
AGAGUUUGAUCAUGGCUCAGAAUGAACGUUGGCGGCAUGGAUUAGGCAUGCAAGUCGAGCGAGAAGGAUAUCAAAGUUUACUUUGAUAUCCGGAAAGCGGCGCAAGGGAGAGUAACGCGUAGUUAUCUACCCCAAGGCCCGGAAUAGCUGCGGGAAACUGCAGGUAAUGCCGGAUAAUAUCCCCGGAUCAAAGGUGUGAUUCCGCCUUGGGAGGAGACUGCGUUGUACUAGCUUGUUGGUAGGGUAAUGGCCUACCAAGGCUACGAUGCAUAGCGGGCGUGAGAGCGUGGCCCGUCUCACUGGGACUGAAACACUGCCCAGACACCUACGGGUGGCUGCAGUCGAGAAUCUUCGGCAAUGGGCGAAAGCCUGACCGAGCAAUGCCGCGUGCGGGAUGAAGGCCCUCGGGUUGUAAACCGCUGUCGUAGAGGAGAAAGGUCUGAUGAAGAAUCAGAUUUGAUCUAUUCUAGAAGGAAGUCCGGGCUAAGUUCGUGCCAGCAGCCGCGGUAACACGAACCGGACAAACGUUAUUCGGAAUUAUUGGGCUUAAAGGGUGCGUAGGCGGUGCGGUAAGUGCGGUGUGAAAGCCCUCGGCUCAACCGAGGAAUUGCGCUGCAUACUGCCGUGCUAGAGGGAGACAGAGGUAAGCGGAACUGAUGGUGGAGCGGUGAAAUGCGUUGAUAUCAUCAGGAACACCGGUGGCGAAAGCGGCUUACUGGGUCUUCACUGACGCUGAGGCACGAAAGCUAGGGUAGCGAACGGGAUUAGAUACCCCGGUAGUCCU